GAAGUUUGACUUCAGUCAACUCUAAUAUGUAGAGUAAAUAAAAACGGAGGGAAGUAUUAGUAUAUAGUAUAUUUUUAGGCAUCAAAAUUGGUUCUUUGAUGAUUCACGAGCAUUUUGCAUCUGAAUAACCUACUGAAUACUACUGCCUCCGUCCCAUAAUAUAAGAACGUUUUUGAUACUAGUGUAGUGCCAAAAACGUUCUUAUAUUAUGGGACAGAGGGAGUACUGUGGUAUUUUUCUUCGAUUCGUUUCAGAUGGACCACGGAAUUCAUCAUAAAGCGAGCGAGCGGUGUGUAACGUACUGUGCUCGUUUUCUUGAUCGGGAUUGCGUAACUUUUUCCUCCCUCGCGGCCGCGGGGAAGAUGACAGAGCCGAAAACGCAGGUAGAUGGCCGAAUUCGUGUUGCGCACUGGGUCUGGGUGUUUGGUUGACUGGCUGAUCAAAGGAAGAUGUCUGAAUAAUAUUGGAUAGAUCAGGCAUGUUGUUCAAACUUGAAACCACUACAUGAAAGCGCCCGUGGAAUGGAAAGCUACUUUGCUCCCUUGGCAUCCAAGUUUCUUGCUUGGUCAAGCCGAAGAAGAAUAUGCAGAAGCUCGACAAGAUCAUGGAGGGCAACAUCAGCGUCGUCGUCGCUCCUGAUGAGCUCGAGGUCGUAGAUGUCGAUCCUGAGGUGGUUGGUGAUGGUGGCGAUGAGGCUGGACUUGCCGGUGCCCGGCGGGCCAUAGAGCAGAAUAUGGACACACACCCGUGACUGACGCCGCAGAAACACUUCUUCCUCCCAAGCCACCAUACCUCAUCCCCUCCUCGACUCGUGCUAUGGGAAACGACAUAGCAUCUCGCCCGGCCACGGCGUCGCAAGAUCAGCUUCAUCGUGAUGGCUUCCUGAGAUGCCAGAUUGGGGACAGCCUGCCGAGGUCCGAGAGGUACAUGCUGGUCAAAGACGAGCGCGUGUACCUGUCCUGAACGGCUACGAGGAUCCAUGGGACAACGCCAACGACGUACCAGGACAUGGCACGACCGAUCUGAACGGCAGCGGCGCACGCCGUGAUUCCGUGGGAGCUGGAGGUGCCGAUAUUGGUGCUGCUUCCUCGUCAAGGCCAAAGAAGAGAGGGAGAAAGCCAGGUGUUGGCUUCUUCCGUGGCGAGCGCGUUCGUGACGACUUCAGUCAGUUCAGUGUCGUGCUUUGCGGCGACGGCCUUAGCAAGCUCGUCGUUCCUCCCAAUCUGUCUCAGAUCGUGCCUGGGAAGGCCCCACGAGUCGUCCGUAUCAGCACUGGCGGUGAUUACACAUGCAAGGUUCAGCUGAGGGAGAAUGCCGGUCGAAUGGUUCUGCAAAAUGGUUGGUAUAUGUUCGUUUCUGUUCAUUGUUUGCAGGUGGGCGACAGGCUCCUUCCUCUCCCAAAACAAAACACGGACCUCGUACAUGACGCAUACAAAUUACUACAAGUCAAAGAUGAUGGAUAUGUGUAGUUUGAAACAGUACGGGCCUCUUUGAUUCGCAGGAUUGUCAAAAUAAAGGAAUAGAAAAAAUGCAGGAAUAGAAUGGCAUGUCCCACAGGAUUUGAAAGGAUGUUUGAUAGCGCAGGAAAAACAAAGGAAUUCUACAAAGAGGUUUGAGUGGAUGGAAAUUUUCCUCCAAAA